AGUCGAGCGGAACGAGUUAUCUGAACCUUCGGGGAACGAUAACGGCGUCGAGCGGCGGACGGGUGAGUAAUGCCUAGGAAAUUGCCCUGAUGUGGGGGAUAACCAUUGGAAACGAUGGCUAAUACCGCAUAAUACCUACGGGUCAAAGAGGGGGACCUUCGGGCCUCUCGCGUCAGGAUAUGCCUAGGUGGGAUUAGCUAGUUGGUGAGGUAAUGGCUCACCAAGGCGACGAUCCCUAGCUGGUCUGAGAGGAUGAUCAGCCACACUGGAACUGAGACACGGUCCAGACUCCUACGGGAGGCAGCAGUGGGGAAUAUUGCACAAUGGGCGCAAGCCUGAUGCAGCCAUGCCGCGUGUGUGAAGAAGGCCUUCGGGUUGUAAAGCACUUUCAGUCGUGAGGAAGGUAGUGUAGUUAAUAGCUGCAUUAUUUGACGUUAGCGACAGAAGAAGCACCGGCUAACUCCGUGCCAGCAGCCGCGGUAAUACGGAGGGUGCGAGCGUUAAUCGGAAUUACUGGGCGUAAAGCGCAUGCAGGUGGUUUGUUAAGUCAGAUGUGAAAGCCCGGGGCUCAACCUCGGAAUAGCAUUUGAAACUGGCAGACUAGAGUACUGUAGAGGGGGGUAGAAAUUUCAGGUGUAGCGGUGAAAUGCGUAGAGAUCUGAAGGAAUACCGGUGGCGAAGGCGGCCCCCUGGACAGAUACUGACACUCAGAUGCGAAAGCGUGGGGAGCAAA
rnacentral:rRNA from 1 species